GACGAACGCUGGCGGCGUGCUUAAAACAUGCAAGUCGAACGAAGUGGCGAACGGGUGAGUAACACGUGAGUAACCUGCCCUAUUCUUUGGGAUAACGGUCGGAAACGGCUGCUAAUAAUGGAUAGUGGGGGGUGGGCUCGCGGCCUAUCAGCUUGUUGGUGGGGUGAUGGCCUACCAAGGCUUUGACGGGUAACCGGCCUGAGAGGGUGACCGGUCACAGUGGAACUGGGUUACGGCCCAUAUUCCUACGGGAGGGAGCAGUGGGGAAUUUUGCACAAUGGGCGCAAGCCUGAUGCAGCGACGCCGCGUGAUGGAUUAAGGCCUUCGGGUUGUAAACCUUGUUCGCUCAUGGUUGGGUAGUGGGUAAAGAAGCGCCGGCUAACUACGUGCCAGCAGCCGCGGUAAUAC
rnacentral:rRNA from 1 species